GGGCGUACGCUGGCGGCGUGGCUAAUACAUGCAAGUCGAGCGGACAGAAGGGAGCUUGCUCCCGGAUGUUAGCGGCGGACGGGUGAGUAACACGUGGGUAACCUGCCUGUAAGACUGGGAUAACUCCGGGAAACCGGAGCUAAUACCGGAUAGUUCCUUGAACCGCAUGGUUCAAGGAUGAAAGACGGUUUCGGCUGUCACUUACAGAUGGACCCGCGGCGCAUUAGCUAGUUGGUGGGGUAAUGGCUCACCAAGGCGACGAUGCGUAGCCGACCUGAGAGGGUGAUCGGCCACACUGGGACUGAGACACGGCCCAGACUCCUACGGGAGGCAGCAGUAGGGAAUCUUCCGCAAUGGACGAAAGUCUGACGGAGCAACGCCGCGUGAGUGAUGAAGGUUUUCGGAUCGUAAAGCUCUGUUGUUAGGGAAGAACAAGUGCGAGAGUAACUGCUCGCACCUUGACGGUACCUAACCAGAAAGCCACGGCUAACUACGUGCCAGCAGCCGCGGUAAUACGUAGGUGGCAAGCGUUGUCCGGAAUUAUUGGGCGUAAAGGGCUCGCAGGCGGUUUCUUAAGUCUGAUGUGAAAGCCCCCGGCUCAACCGGGGAGGGUCAUUGGAAACUGGGAAACUUGAGUGCAGAAGAGGAGAGUGGAAUUCCACGUGUAGCGGUGAAAUGCGUAGAGAUGUGGAGGAACACCAGUGGCGAAGGCGACUCUCUGGUCUGUAACUGACGCUGAGGAGCGAAAGCGUGGGGAGCGAACAGGAUUAGAUACCCUGGUAGUCCACGCCGUAAACGAUGAGUGCUAAGUGUUAGGGGGUUUCCGCCCCUUAGUGCUGCAGCUAACGCAUUAAGCACUCCGCCUGGGGAGUACGGUCGCAGACUGAAACUCAAAGGAAUUGACGGGGCCCGCACAAGCGGUGGGAGCAUGUGGUUUAAUUCGAAGCC
rnacentral:rRNA from 2 species